rnacentral:rRNA from 1 species
GCAAGUCGAACGGAGAUGUAGCAAUACAUUUCAGUGGCGAACGGGUGAGUAACGCGUUGGUGACCUGCCCCGGAGAGUGGGAUACCAGUUCGAAAGGACUGCUAAUACCGCAUACCGUUUUAGGGAUUAGAGGCCUAAAAACGAAAGGAGCAAUUCGCUCCGGGAGGGACCUGCGUCCCAUCAGCUAGUUGGUAAGGUAACGGCUUACCAAGGCGACGACGGGUAGGGGACCUGAGAGGGUGGCCCCCCACAAUGGAACUGAAACACGGUCCAUACACCUACGGGUGGCAGCAGUAGGGAAUAUUGCAUAAUGGGCGCAAGCCUGAUGCAGCAACGCCGCGUGUGCGAUGAAGGCCUUCGGGUCGUAAAGCACUUUUAGCAGGGAUGAGGAAGGACAGUACCUGCUGAAUAAGCCUCGGCUAACUACGUGCCAGCAGCCGCGGUAAAACGUAGGAGGCGAGCGUUAUCCGGAUUUACUGGGCGUAAAGCGUGUGCAGGCGGUUGAGAAAGUUGGAUGUGAAAGCUCCUGGCCUAACUGGGAGAGGUCGUUCAAUACUACUUGACUAGAGAGUGGGAGAGGGAGGUGGAAUUCCGGGUGUAGUGGUGAAAUGCGUAGAUAUCCGGARGAACACCAGUGGCGAAAGCGGCCUCCUGGCCCAUUUCUGACGCUCAUACACGGAAGCUAGGGGAGCGAACGGGAUUAGAGACCCCGGUAGUCCUAGCUGUAAACGAUGUGAACUUGGCGUCGGAGGGUUUAAAUCCUUCGGUGCCGAAGCCAACGCGAUAAGUUCACCGCCUGGGGACUACGGCCGCAAGGUUAAAACUCAAAGGAAUUGACGGGGGCCCGCACAAGCAGCGGAGCGUGUGGUUUAAUUCGAUGUUACACGAAGAACCUUACCAAGGUUUGACAUGCAGAUGGUAGGGAAGGGAAACCGGACCGACCCUUCGGGGAGUCUGCACAGGUGCUGCAUGGCUGUCGUCAGCUCGUGUCGUGAGAUGUUCGGUUAAGUCCGCUAACGAGCCGCCACCCUCGCUGUGUGUUACAAGUGUCACACGGGAACUGCCGGUCUUAAGCCG